GCGGGUGAGGCCUAUGGGUGAGGCGCCACACUUCCUGUGUGGAGAACAAGGUUCGAGUCCUUGCGCCCGCU
rnacentral:tRNA from 1 species